rnacentral:tRNA from 1 species
GCGCCCGUAGCUCAGCUGGAUAGAGUACCGCGCUUCGAACGCGGGUGUCGGCGGUUCGAAUCCGUCCGGGCGCACCA